CUUAAAUGGGAAUUGACAGCUUUAGAAAUAGAGCUUUCUUCGGACAAUUUUCAAGGUGCUGCAUGGUUGUCGUCAGCUCGUGCCGUGAGGUGUUAGGUUAAGUCCUGCAACGAGCGCAACCCCUGUCACUAGUUGCCAUCAUUCAGUUGGGGACUCUAGUGAGACUGCCUACGCAAGUAGAGAGGAAGGUGGGGAUGACGUCAAAUCAUCACGGCCCUUACGUCUUGGGCCACACACGUAAUACAAUGGCCGGUACAGAGGGCAGCUACACAGCGAUGUGAUGCAAAUCUCGAAAGCCGGUCUCAGUUCGGAUUGGAGUUUGCAACUCGACUCUAUGAAGCUGGAAUCGCUAGUAAUCGCGCAUCAGCCAUGGCGCGGUGAAUACGUUCCCGGGCCUUGUACACACCGCCCGU
rnacentral:rRNA from 1 species